rnacentral:rRNA from 1 species
UACGUAGGGUGCGAGCGUUGUCCGGAAUUAUUGGGCGUAAAGAGCUCGUAGGUGGCUUGUUGCGUCUGCCGUGAAAGCCCGUGGCUUAACUGCGGGUCUGCGGUGGAUACGGGCAGGCUAGAGGCUGGUAGGGGCAAGCGGAAUUCCUGGUGUAGCGGUGAAAUGCGCAGAUAUCAGGAGGAACACCGGUGGCGAAGGCGGCUUGCUGGGCCAGUUCUGACGUGAGGAGCGAAAGCGUGGGGAGCGAACAGG